rnacentral:rRNA from 1 species
AGUGAACGCUGGCGGUAGGCCUAACACAUGCAAGUCGAACAGCAGCACAGUAAGAGCUUGCUCUUACGGGUGGCGAGUGGCGGACGGGUGAGGAAUACAUCGGAAUCUACUUUUUCGUGGGGGAUAACGUAGGGAAACUUACGCUAAUACCGCAUACGACCUACGGGUGAAAGCAGGGGAUCUUCGGACCUUGCGCGAUUGAAUGAGCCGAUGUCGGAUUAGCUAGUUGGCGGGGUAAAGGCCCACCAAGGCGACGAUCCGUAGCUAGUCUGAGAGGAUGAUCAGCCACACUGGAACUGAGACACGGUCCAGACUCCUACGGGAGGCAGCAGUGGGGAAUAUUGGACAAUGGGCGCAAGCCUGAUCCAGCCAUACCGCGUGGGUGAAGAAGGCCUUCGGGUUGUAAAGCCCUUUUGUUGGGAAAGAAAAGCAGCAGGUUAAUACCCCGCUGUUCUGACGGUACCCAAAGAAUAAGCACCGGCUAACUUCGUG